rnacentral:rRNA from 1 species
CAGCAGCCGCGGUAAUACGAAGGGUGCAAGCGUUACUCGGAAUUACUGGGCGUAAAGCGUGCGCAGGCGGUUUGUUAAGACAGAUGUGAAAUCCCCGGGCUCAACCUGGGAACUGCAUUUGUGACUGGCAGGCUAGAGUAUGUCAGAGGGGGGUGGAAUUCCGCGUGUAGCAGUGAAAUGCGUAGAUAUGCGGAGGAACACCGAUGGCGAAGGCAGCCCCCUGGGCCAAUACUGACGCUCAUGCACGAAAGCGUGGGGAGCAAACAGGAUUAGAUACCCCUGUAGUCCCUGUCUCUUAUAC